GGAAGAAAAGGAAGCACUAAAAAUGUUCUUGUUGUAGUGAAAUCUAUUGGUCAACGUUACCACAACUUCAUGAAACUUCACUGCUCCAUCUACAACAUUGCAGAAAACUGAAACCACAAUACCAACAGCACCAUGUUACAGGUUGAUGAAAGGAUGACAUCUUAUUUUUUCUGUGCCACCCAGCGAGAUGGGAUGAAAUACCAACUGUGUGACACAAAUACUUCUCGGUGUGCUCCAGCAUGCCGAAGCAGGAUA